rnacentral:rRNA from 1 species
CAGCCGCCGCGGUAAUACGUAGGUGGCAAGCGUUGUCCGGAAUUACUGGGCGUAAAGCGUACGUAGGCGGCUUUGUAAGUUAGAGGUGAAAGCCUGGAGCUCAACUCCAGAAUUGCCUUUAAGACUGCAUCGCUUGAACGUCGGAGAGGUGAGUGGAAUUCCGAGUGUAGAGGUGAAAUUCGUAGAUAUUCGGAAGAACACCAGUGGCGAAGGCGGCUCACUGGACGACUGUUGACGCUGAGGUACGAAAGCGUGGGGGGCAAACAGGAUUAGAUACCCGCGUAGUCCCUGUCUCUUAUAC